GAGUAGUGCUAACUGGAAGUAGAGUGGGCUGGAAAUCGUAAAGAGAGGCGACAAGACUGACUCCAGAAGCACAGGUCCGGGAAUAGACAGACCUCAGAGACUCGCAGUCUAAAGCAGAUUGCCCCGUCGUGAAGAAACCCCUUCGGAAGACCUGAAGCAAUUCCGCCGAGAGCAGAAAAUGGCUCAUGACCAGUCUCUGCUGGUUGUGCAGCAGGCCCUGAAGAAGUGCUUCCCUGUGGUGGAGGAACAGCAGGACCUGUGGCAGAGCACCCUGCAGGACUGCUCGCCCCUCCUGUCCUCUCUCAGUAACCUGGCUGAGCAGCUGCAAGCUGCACAGAGUCUGCGGUUUGAGGAUGUGCCAGCCCUUCGUCCCUUUCCAGACUUACAGGAGCGGUUGAGGUGCAAGCAGCUGGAGGCUGGUGACGUUGUCCUGGACAAGCUAGCUGAGAGGCUAGCCACCCUCCUCAAGGUCCGUAACACCAUCAGCAGCCAUGUGGAGCAGGUAUUUCAGGCCUAUGAGCAGCAUGCGGCUGUGCUGGACAUUGAUGCCGUCCUGCGCCCCUCAGUUGUGAGCCCCUCUGUGGCUGACAUGUUGGAGUGGCUGCAAGACAUCGACAGACAUUAUGGAAGCUCAUAUCCUUCGAGUGCUUCCUGACUGACUGCCCAGAGCUGCCCCUAGAGGCCGCAGCAGGGUCAGACUUCACAGGGUCAGCAGGCUGUAUACAUUGCUGCAGUUUUCUAGUGCUUAGACUGGGAUUCUUCUUGCAUUUAUCCUUUUUUAAAUAGUCGUUCCUUAUAGUUUAUCUGCUAUGCAUCAAAAGGGGGAAUGCAUAGUGUCAGAGGUGGUGAGUGCUAAAUAAAGCGGAGCAGGUGAGGGGAGGUGGGGCUGCGACUUUAAUAGUGUGAUCAGUACAGGGACCCAUGAGGCAGUGACAUCCUGAAACAGUGAUGCUCACAGCAUUUGAGUAAAGUUUGAAAGAGGGAAGGAAUGAGCCAUGUGGGUAUUUGGAAGACAAGUGGUCCAGGCAGAGGGUAGAUGGAGUGAGCUUGUCUGGUACGUGUAGGAACUACUGUGAGGCCAGUGGGAGUGAGGGCAGGGCAUGAGGAGAGAAACAGAGGGCCUUGAUUUUUGAGAAGGAUCUUGAAGGUUUUGGCUGUUACUCUGAAAUCAAAGUUCUCAGAAGCUUUAAGCAGAACCACGUGGUCAAGGCCUAUGCUUAACAGUGCUCUGUUCUGAAGAACAGUUGGCAUGGCAGAGCAAGCCUGAGAGCAGGAAGUUAGCCGCAGUCUUGGCCUUUUCUCCAUUUGUGUCCGCGACUGUCAUCUGACCCUGGUUUUGCUCCCUUUACUGUUGCUUCCGGUCUUGAGUCUCAGUUUCCUGUGGCUGCCUCCAGCUGGCUCAUGUAGUGAACUCCAAAUUCAAGUUUAAAGCUGAACAUGGACCAGCAGUGCCCACUGCAUGACUGAUUUUCAUGUUGUGAUCAAGUAUCGAACACAAAGCAGGACAGACAGAUUUGUUUCCGGUCAUAGCUGGAGGGAUAUGUCCAUCAUGGAGGGAAGUACACAGGGACAGGAGCGUAAGCCACUGGUCACAUUGCACCUGCAUCAGGAUGCAGGGAAUGCUGACUGCUGCCGUUCACUUUCUGUUCAUUCUGGGCCCCCAGCCCGGGGAUUGACACCAUCCACAUUCAGAGGAGUCUUCCCACUACAGCUAAACCUUUCUAGAGACAUAACAGACACAACCUGUGUCAUGUUUCCAUGGUGAAUCUAAAUUCAGACAAGUUGACAGAGGAGACUGUCACCCAAUCUGGAUAUGUAGGGACGAUCUUCCUCCUGCCCCUCUGUCCCCUCUAAUCACUGCAGUAGUGGUACUAGGUGUGCUAGUGGGGCCGCUAACCCUGAUAGCCCUAAGCACUGCCAUGGGCUACGCGCUGGAGCCACUGGUCGGCUCUACUACCCUGCCUUGGUUUCUGAUCACAUGGCUGAGAUGGACCACGUUCAACAGUAGUCCCAAAAGAGCGCAUGACCUAGUGACACAGACAUCUUGUAAGUUCCUUUUUCUUGUGACAAGUCCUUAACUUCUGGGAAGGUACCUGAAGAGAAAGUACCUCAUCUCCUCCAUCCACUGGGGAGACUUGGCCGGUAUCCAAGCACUGCCCAAGGCCUGGGACCAGAUUUCAGAAGAUGAGUGCCAAAGCCUUGUGUCAGGUACUGGUGUCUGUCAGUCCUGUGCUGCCUCUCUGGAGGGGUUAGACACCCCCCCGCUGUGCUCUUGGGCCUUGAUAAACCUGAUGCUUUGUCCCUUGCUUCCUGUUCUAGAUGUCCUGCUGAGUGUCUCCUUCUUCCUGGAGGAGCCAGGAGGCUGUGCAGUGUCUGGAGAUCUGGAGCACCGCAGCUGAGGGCUGCCAUUGCUACCCUAGGCUCUUUCUACGUGUGGGUCAGCAUUGCUACCUGACUCACUGGAAUAGCAGUGCCUACGGUAGAGGCCCUGGGACUUCUCCAUGCUAGGCCAAGGCCAAGGCCAAGGGUCCAUGGCCUCUGCACCUAUGGCUCUGAGAAGUGGAUAGAGGUGGAGGAGACAGGAAAGACAGUGCUGAUAAACAGUGUCCACCAAGACAGGAAAGGGCAGAAUGCAAGGUUGUGUGGCCACCGCUGUCUAUGUCAUCUGAACCAUAUUCUCUGGUUGGCUCAGGUCCUGAUUCUGUGUGUGUCAGUAUCUGAGUCCUUAAUGGCUUAAAGAUAGGAGUGGGUCUGGGAGUCAAGGGCAGGAGCAGUGUGUGUGUGUGUUGGGGGGGGGGUCGGGGGACAAAGUCAAUCCCCUGCAAACCCCCAAAAAGGGAGGGACUGAAGGAAAGGGAAUGUUUAAAAUAUUUACCCCUUCUCUGAAGCUCAUUAUGAAGCCAAUUUCCAUUUCCAAAAUCAGCCACCAGGGGACGAUGGUGCAGCGUGAGUGGUUCUGAAUGCCUUGUUCUUGAGGGAGGUCUCCUGUUGCUGUUAAAAACCACUGAGGUGGCAGAGGGGAGCUGGAUAUCCCACCCAGGACUAGGGAGGCAAAGACAGGUGGAUCUCUGUGAUUUUAAGAUCAUCUUGGUCUCCAUAGCUUCAGGCCAACCAAGGCCACAUACUGAGACUGUCUCAGAAAAGAAGAAAGAGGUAAUGGAGAAAUAGUGGUGACAGGGCUGAGGGACCUUGCAUUGGCCACGGUCUUCUGAGUUUGGGGUAACUGGCCAGGGGAGGGGAUGCCAGCUGUGACGAUUGGUUUUUAUGGUCCACUUGACAUGCAAAGCCACCUGGGAAGGGAGUCUCAGUAAGGAAUGUUCUAGAUUUGGUUGGCUUGCAGACAUGUAAGAUUUUCUUAACUGAGGUGAGAAGACCCAUCCUGAAUGUGAGUGGCAGCAUUUCAUGGGCUGGAGCCAGGAUCAAAGGAGAAAGAGGGCAGGCUGAGCACUUAGCAGGCAUGCACUAACCCAUCGCUUCUGACGGUGAAUGUGCUGUGACCACUGCUUCAUGUUCCUGCCAGAGACUCUCCUGUAGUAAUGGAUUCUAACUUCAAAUUAUAAGCCUAAUAAGUCCUUUCUCCCUUCAGUUGCAUCUGUCAAUAGGUUUUAUCAUGCUUUAGGGUUCUCUAAAGGAACAGAACUAAUGAUAGCAUGAAUGAAUAUAAAGAGAGAGGUAUUGGGGGCAGCGAGGGUGAGGGCCGGCGUGCCUAAAGCAAAAGCUUUCUUCUCCCAUAUGAUGUUAUGUGGGCUCCCACCACAGGGUUUGACCCAGAUUUGGGGUGGGUCUUCCUACCCCGGAAUGAUCCAGAUUUAGAGUGGGUCUUCCCACCUCAAAUGAUCCAAUCAAGAAAACCCCUCACAGGCAUGCCCAGUUGCUUGAGUCUUAGUUGAUUCCAGAUGUCAAGUUGACAGUGAAGAUUAGCCAUCACAUGCAGUACCAGGAAAGAGACUGAGAGGCAGCCUCGAGUGGUACCGACCCUUGCCUUCUGUGCUACGGCCACUGCCCAGGGGUGCCAGCUUCCCAUGUACCCUACAAGUCAGGGCUGCCGUGUACAGGGCAUAGUGCAGAGAAUGGAUUUAUUUUAGCUUUUGAUUUUCCAAGACAGGGUUUCUCUGUAGCCCUGGCUGUCCUGGAACUCACUCUAAACCAGGCUGAUCUCAGAGAUCCACCUUCCUCUGCCUCCCGAGUGCUAGGAUCAAAGGCGUGCGCCACCACCACCACCCAGCUAAGGAUGGAGACUUUUAAAAAGAAAGUGGCUUUGUUUUCUUACUAUAUUUUUUGUUUACAAUUAAAGAAAAAUACAAAAAAGUAUAAUGCAAUAAUAUUUUGAUCUGGAUCCAUUUACCGUUCUUCAUAAAUUUCAAAACAAAAUCAUUGAUACAAACUCAUUCUUUCUAAAUUUGUGGAUAGUGGGACAUCUGUAAAUAAGUCAAUAAAAUAUAUACUAUAUAGACUAUAUAGACU
ensembl:processed_transcript